AAGCGCCGCGUCCUCUCCAUCUUGGACAAGGCCAAGCUCGCCCUCGACCACAGCUACGGCCUGCACGAGGACGACCCGCGCCACUACCCGUUCGAGGCGCCAGAAUUCGCUUAUGAUGAGUAUGCUGAUUACGGACCCGAAGAUUUUGCUGAAGUUUACAAUGGCGAAGCUUAUGAGGGGGCGGGUUCCGGGCGCUGGUUGACGUACAAGCAGACACUGCCCUCAGCCGUGGAGCGGGCAAGGUGCAGAACUUCACCUUAUGCCAGGCCUAAAUAAGGUCCAUUUUUGCCAGUCAUGAGUCUGUGCAUAAGGUCCAAAAAAUUGCCCGUCUAGAAUCUUCAUAACACCGUCGAAUGCGCCCACCGCGGCUAACUGAGCGUCGAAUGCACCAUCCUCUCAGUCUUAACUUUGCCAAUUUUUGUUUAUUAUUUGACAUGAGACAAAGUUGCAUAUGUACUAGUCAUCCUUCCUUAAAGUUCUUCUAUAAUAUUUAUUUCUUACCAUUUCAUUUGUGUAUCUUAAUAAUUAUAAAAAAACAAGUACUUAUUGCGACAGUCAACUAAACUUGACCUAAACUUGUCGAUCAUCCUUGGUAAGCUUUUAAUACUAUAAGUACAAAUAUGUAAAAAAAAUAUAUUAUAAAUCGUUCAGUGAAACAAAAAUGGAGAUAUGUUAUUUGUCGAAUCUAAGUACAUUACCCACUAAAUCCUCUUUUUUUCUUCUUCUCAUCCUAUUUGAACAUUAAGUGUUAGAAUAUCAUAUUUUGAUGUCCAGCCAAAAACCUUGGUAACACAACUUUUCAGUGUAUCAUAUAGACAGUUGUUAGGUUCUUAGUUCUACGUCAUUUUGAGCUCUGAUUGAUAUAUAAGAAUAUACUGUCAUGAGAUGUUGAUAGAUUGUAACAAUUAUUUUGAUAAAGGACUAUAUAUUGUGUAGUUUGUGAUCGGAACAGCAUAGCGAGAGCGAUUUUUUUUCUUCUUUUUUUUACAUUUUUCAUGAAUUUAUCAUUUCAUUUUUUAAAUACCUAAAUGAUAACAUACGUAUGAAUGUCUUUUUUCUGACAUGAUGAAAAAUU